GUCUUUAUCUCAAUUCAUGGAGUUCACUUUCCUGUUUCUCUCCACCAUCCCAGAGAGGGAGGAGAGAGGGUGAGCGAACGGCUGUGUGGUGCUUAGCUGCCGGCUGGGUUAAACCACAACAGUAUUUUUUGGUGCCCAACGUGGGGCACCAAGGGUUGAGAUAAGGACAGG